GGGGAAUUUUGGACAAUGGGGGCAACCCUGAUCCAGCCAUGCCGCGUGAGUGAAGAAGGCCUUCGGGUUGUAAAGCUCUUUCGGCCGGGAAGAAAUCGUGCAGGCUAAUACCCUGUAUGGAUGACGGUACCGGAAUAAGAAGCACCGGCUAACUACGUGCCAGCAGCCGCGGUAAUACGUAGGGUGCGAGCGUUAAUCGGAAUUACUGGGCGUAAAGCGUGCGCAGGCGGUUUUGUAAGACAGGCGUGAAAUCCCCGGGCUCAACCUGGGAACUGCGCUUGUGACUGCAAGACUAGAGUACGGCAGAGGGGGGUGGAAUUCCACGUGUAGCAGUGAAAUGCGUAGAGAUGUGGAGGAACACCAAUGGCGAAGGCAGCCCCCUGGGUCGAUACUGACGCUCAUGCACGAAAGCGUGGGGAGCAAACA
rnacentral:rRNA from 1 species